rnacentral:rRNA from 1 species
AAUAGAUACCCCGGUAGUCCACGCCGUAAACGAUGAGUGCUAAGUGUUAGGGGGUUUCCGCCCCUUAGUGCUGCAGCUAACGCAUUAAGCACUCCGCCUGGGGAGUACGGCCGCAAGGCUGAAACUCAAAGGAAUUGACGGGGGCCCGCACAAGCGGUGGAGCAUGUGGUUUAAUUCGAAGCAACGCGAAGAACCUUACCAGGUCUUGACAUCCUCUGACAACCCUAGAGAUAGGGCGUUCCCCUUCGGGGGACAGAGUGACAGGUGGUGCAUGGUUGUCGUCAGCUCGUGUCGUGAGAUGUUGGGUUAAGUCCCGCAACGAGCGCAACCCUUGAUCUUAGUUGCCAGCAUUUAGUUGGGCACUCUAAGGUGACUGCCGGUGACAAACCGGAGGAAGGUGGGGAUGACGUCAAAUCAUCAUGCCCCUUAUGACCUGGGCUACACACGUGCUACAAUGGAUGGUACAAAGGGCUGCCAAACCGCGAGGUUGAGCGAAUCCCAUAAAACCAUUCUCAGUUCGGAUUGCAGGCUGCAACUCG